UACGAAGGGGGCUAGCGUUGCUCGGAAUGACUGGGCGUAAAGGGCGCGUAGGCGGCGUGCAUAGUCAGAUGUGAAAUUCCUGGGCUUAACCUGGGGGCUGCAUUUGAUACGUGUGUGCUGGAGUGUGAAAGAGGGUCGUGGAAUUCCCAGUGUAGAGGUGAAAUUCGUAGAUAUUGGGAAGAACACCGGUGGCGAAGGCGGCGACCUGGUUCAUUACUGACGCUGAGGCGCGAAAGCGUGGGGAGCAAACAGG
rnacentral:rRNA from 2 species